AAUCAACGCUGGCGGCGUGCCUAACACAUGCAAGUCGAACGCGAAAAUGGAGCAAUCCAUGAGUAGAGUGGCAAACGGGUGAGUAACACGUGGGUGACCUGCCUUCGAGUGGGGGAUAACGUCCCGAAAGGGACGCUAAUACCGCAUAAUAUGCUGUCUUUUAAGAGAGAGACAUCAAAGCCGGGGACCGCAAGGCCUGGCGCUUGAAGAGGGGCCCGCGCCUGAUUAGCUAGUUGGUGGGGUAAUGGCUCACCAAGGCAACGAUCAGUAUCCGGCCUGAGAGGGCGGACGGACACACUGGGACUGAGACACGGCCCAGACUCCUACGGGAGGCAGCAGUGGGGAAUUGUUCGCAAUGGGCGCAAGCCUGACGACGCAACGCCGCGUGGAGGAUGAAGAUCUUCGGGUCGUAAACUCCUUUCGAUCGAGACGAAUGGCCCUUGGGAUAAUACCCUGAGGGAGUGACGGUACCGAGAGAAGAAGCCCCGGCU
rnacentral:rRNA from 1 species